AUGCUUUACGGUGGUGGAAUCAACGGAUUAGUAUUGGAGGAUGCACAAACCGAAAUUCAGGAGAUUAGUGAUUGGGUCGGUGAAAAGAGGAAGCAGGGAUUGAGGAACAUCACGGACCCAGCCCCCGCGUCGUCCCCCUGGGGGCGGCUCGGGCGGAACCCUAGCCGCCGCCGCCGCCGACCCCACCAACGCCACCUCCCCUCGCCGCUGCUGGCAGAUGUCGCCGGGCAAAGCCCGCCGACGGCCGGCGGCGGCGGGAUUCGCUCCCUUGCGUGCGCAUCGGCUCUCCUCUCCCGCAUCCUCCCCUGCUUCAACGACGACCCCUGA
rnacentral:rRNA from 1 species